ACCUGCCUUCGACAGGGGGAUAACACUCCCAACGGGGUGCUAAUACCGCAUGAGACCACGGGUUCGCAUGGACCCGAGGUCAAAGGUGGCCUCUAUUUAUAAGCUACCGGUCGAAGAUGGUCUCGCGUCCCAUUAGCUAGUUGGCGGGGUAACGGCCCACCAAGGCGACGAUGGGUAGCUGGUCUGAGAGGAUGGUCAGCCACACUGGGACUGAGAUACGGCCCAGACUCCUACGGGAGGCAGCAGUCGAGAGGCUUCGGCAAUGGGGGAAACCCUGACCGAGCGACGCCGCGUGCAGGAUGAAGGCCCUUGGGUUGUAAACUGCUUUUGUCGGGGAAGAAAUGCGAUCAGGUGAAUAAUCUGGUCGUUUGACGGUACCCGGCGAAUAAGCUCCGGCUAACUCCGUGCCAGCCGCCGCGGUAA
rnacentral:rRNA from 1 species